ACUUUUCCUUUCCUUGGCCAGUCAAGUUGGCAGCAGAAGCAGAGCCUGCUGAUAUACUGGGCUUUUCUUCGAAAUUAGAUGAUUGCUGUUGACAGCUUGAUAAGUCCUGAAUUCUUCUGAACUACCAGUUAAAUGAGGUUAUAAUUCAACGCUUUCACUGGGUGUGCGAUUUUAAUUAUAAAUACUUUCAAUUUAGACAUUUUAUCUUUUAAAAAAAUAUUUAUAUGUAUAAUCUUAAGGCAAAUUUCAUAUUUUGGUCUCUCUACUAUAAGAGUUUGGUUGGGUAAAUUACAUGGGCGAUCUCUCAAGUUUGCUCUAAGUAUCACAAUAAUAUCUACUUUUUUUUUUCUAUCAUUAAACUUUUUAAUUUUUAAUUAAGAUAUCACUAAACUCCUUUUCGCUAGUCUUCGUUUAAGAGAUAAACAUAAAUUUAAUAUAGCAGUCCAUUUGAUUAAAUUUUUUCUUAAAAAUCUACAUGUCUUCCUUACAUGCCAAUAAAAUUAAGACAUUUGACACUUAUUUAAAAAUAAAAGAAAUA